GUGGGGAAUAUUGGGCAAUGGGCGCAAGCCUGACCCAGCAACGCCGCGUGAAGGAAGAAGGCUUUCGGGUUGUAAACUUCUUUUACCAGGGACGAAACAAAUGACGGUACCUGGUGAAUAAGCCACGGCUAACUACGUGCCAGCAGCCGCGGUAAUACGUAGGUGGCGAGCGUUAUCCGGAUUUAUUGGGUGUAAAGGGCGUGUAGGCGGGACAGCAAGUCAGAUGUGAAAACCAGAGGCUCAACCUCUGGCCUGCAUUUGAAACUGUUGUUCUGGAGUGUCGGAGAGGUAAUCGGAAUUCCGUGUGUAGCGGUGAAAUGCGUAGAUAUACGGAGGAACACCAGUGGCGAAGGCGGAUUACUGGACGAAAACUGACGCUGAGGCGCGAAAGCGUGGGGAGCAAACAGGAUUAGAAACCCUAGUAGUCC
rnacentral:rRNA from 1 species